CCCAUAACAGCACCUUGACCCCAUUCAUGGCACCUAUGGGGUGCUGGACCCCAAAACGGCACCUGGACCCCAUUCAUGGCAUCUAUGGGGUGCGGGACCCCAUAACAGCACCUCGACCCCAUUAUGAGGUGUGGGACCCCAUAACAGCACCUCGACCCCAUUAUGGGGUGUGGGACCCCAUAACGGCACCUCGACCCCAUUCAGCACCUAUGGGGUGCGGGACCCCAUAACAGCACCUCGACCCCAUUCAUGGCACCUAUGGGGGUGCGGGACCCCAAAACGGAGCCCCCACCCCAUUCAUGACACCUAUGGGGUGCAGGACCCCAUAACAGCACCUCGACCCCAUUCAUGGCACCUAUGGGAUGCGAGACCCCAAAAAGGCACCUCGACCCCAUUAUGGGGUGUGGGAACCCAUAACAGCACCUCGACCCCAUUCAUGGCACCUAUGGGGUGCUGGACCCCAAAACGGAGCCCCCACCCCAUUCAUGGCACCUAUGGGGGUGCGGGACCCCAAAAAGGCACCUCGACCCCAUUAUGGGGUGUGGGACCCCAUACCAGCACCUCGACCCCA
rnacentral:lncRNA from 1 species